rnacentral:rRNA from 1 species
CCUGGAUCCAGCCAUGCCGCGUGAGUGAUGAAGGCCCUAGGGUUGUAAAGCUCUUUCACCGGUGAAGAUAAUGACGGUAACCGGAGAAGAAGCCCCGGCUAACUUCGUGCCAGCAGCCGCGGUAAUACGAAGGGGGCUAGCGUUGUUCGGAUUUACUGGGCGUAAAGCGCACGUAGGCGGACUUUUAAGUCAGGGGUGAAAUCCCGGGGCUCAACCCCGGAACUGCCUUUGAUACUGGAAGUCUUGAGUAUGGUAGAGGUGAGUGGAAUUCCGAGUGUAGAGGUGAAAUUC